rnacentral:rRNA from 1 species
GCAUAUCAAUAAGCGGAGGAAAAGAAACCAACAGGGAUUGCCUCAGUAACGGCGAGUGAAGCGGCAAGAGCUCAAAUUUGAAAUCUGGCCCCUUCGGGGUCCGAGUUGUAAUUUGUAGAGGAUGCUUCGGGUGCGGCCCCCGUCUAAGUGCUCUGGAACGGGCCAUCGGAGAGGGUGAGAAUCCCGUCUGGGACGGGGUGUCCGCGUCCAUGUGAAGCUCCUUCGACGAGUCGAGUUGUUUGGGAAUGCAGCUCUAAAUGGGUGGUAAAUUUCAUCUAAAGCUAAAUACUGGCCGGAGACCGAUAGCGCACAAGUAGAGUGAUCGAAAGAUGAAAAGCACUUUGAAAAGAGAGUUAAACAGCACGUGAAAUUGUUGAAAGGGAAGCGCUUGCGACCAGACUCGCUUCCGGGGUUCAGCCGGCUUUCGGGCCGGUGUACUUCCCCGGGGGCGGGCCAGCGUCGGUUUGGGCGGCCGGUCAAAGGCCCCUGGAAUGUAACGCCCCUCGGGGCGCCUUAUAGCCAGGGGUGUCAUGCGGCCAGCCUGGACCGAGGAACGCGCUUCGGCACGGACGCUGGCAUAAUGGUCGUAAACGACCCGUCUUGAAACACGGACCAAGGAGUCUAACAUCUACGCGAGUGUUCGGGUGUCAAACCCGUGCGCGCAGUGAAAGCGAACGGAGGUGGGAGCCCCCUCGAGGGGCGCACCAUCGACCGAUCCUGAUGUCUUCGGAUGGAUUUGAGUAAGAGCGUAGCUGUGGGGACCCGAAAGAUGGUGAACUAUGCCUGAAUAGGGCGAAGCCAGAGGAAACUCUGGUGGAGGCUCGCAGCGGUUCUGACGUGCAAAUCGAUCGUCAAAUUUGGGUAUAGGGGCGAAAGACUAAUCGAACCAUCUGGUAGCUGGUUCCUGCCGAAG